rnacentral:rRNA from 1 species
GACGAACGCUGGCGGCGCGCUUAACACAUGCAAGUCGAACGGUGAACGGGGCUUCGGCCCCCGGAUCAGUGGCGAACGGGUGCGUAACACGUGGGCAACCUGCCCCUCACUCUGGGAUAACCCCGGGAAACCGGAGCUAAUACCGGAUACUCCGAACGGAUCGCAUGGUCCGAUCGGGAAAGGUCCGCCGGUGAGGGAUGGGCCCGCGGCCUAUCAGCUUGUUGGUGAGGUAACGGCUCACCAAGGCGACGACGGGUAGCUGGUCUGAGAGGACGACCAGCAAUACUGGGACUGAGAUACGGCCCAGAAUCCUACGGGAGGCAGCAGUGGGGAAUCUUGCGCAAUGGGCGAAAGCCUGACGCAGCGACGCCGCGUGGGGGAUGAAGGCCCUCGGGUUGUAAACCCCUUUCGGCAGGGACGAAGCGGUUCCGUGACGGUACCUGCAGAAGAAGCCUCGGCUAACUACGUGCCAGCCGCCGCAGUAAUAC